GUUGUCGUGGCCGAGUGGUUAAGGAGAUAGACUAGAACUCUAUUGGGAUCUUUCCGCGCAGGUUCGAAUCCUGCCGACAACG